UGAGUUACUAGUUGGCCCACAAUUGC
rnacentral:piRNA from 1 species